rnacentral:rRNA from 1 species
UACAGAGGGGGCAAGCGUUGUUCGGAAUUACUGGGCGUAAAGGGCGCGUAGGCGGCCUGCUAAGUCGAACGUGAAAUCCCCGGCUCACCCACGGGAACUGCGUCCGAUACUGGCAGGCUUGAAUCCGGGAGAGGGAUGUGGAAUUCCAGGUGUAGCGGUGAAAUGCGUAGAUAUCUGGAGGAACACCGGUGGCGAAGGCGGCAUCCUGGACCGGUAUUGACGCUGAUGCGCGAAAGCCAGGGGAGCAAACGGG